rnacentral:lncRNA from 1 species
UCCCACUAAGCUUAAUGGAGUCUGGACCUUACCAAGAUGGUGUCAACCCCUCCCAACUUUCUGAUUUAUGAACUUUGAAAAUCUUCCCUCCUAUUACAAACUUCAGAGACAGUCUUUGGUAUACUAAAUGGCUAAUUUAUUUCUUGGGAAAGAAAGAUAAAAGGGGAAAAGAAGACUCACACUCUUGAUCAGACUCAUCCUAAUGAAAUCAGCGACAAUGGUAACAGUUUUCCCCACUAACCAUCACAGUCAUUACCUAUUCUAACAGAAUGCAAUGCAGCUUGAAAGAAUUGCUAAAAAAUAAAUGAGACUUCUGGUCAAGAUGGCGGCAUAGAAGCAGCGAAAGUUCAGACCUUGGAAACCCUUCCUUACGGAUCGCAAACAGAGUGCUCCUAGGACACCGAAAUUCAAGCUGAACAACAGGAUAGACCUGGGGAACCCUCCUCCUGGACCUGGAUCAAAAGAGAAUGAAGUUCAAUUAAAUGAUGAGACUAUUGAAGUCUGAGGCCACUUUGAAAGACUUCAGAACUCUAAAAAUGCAAUAGCCAAUGAUGACUCCAAAGCAUCAAAGAUGAAGACAAAAUCCCCAUUCCAACAGAAAGGUUAAAGAUAUAAAAUUCCAAAUGUAUCUUACAUUUUGGGACAUGACCAACAUAAAGCUUUUUGCUCAUAUUUUUUGAUUGAUAUGGUUUUCUUUUUUUUUUAAAUUAUUUAGUUGGGGUAGAAGGGGUGGGAGAGAAAAUAAAUUGUUAAUCAGGAUGAUUAUACA